rnacentral:rRNA from 1 species
UACGGGGGGGGCAAGCGUUGUUCGGAAUUACUGGGCGUAAAGGGCUCGUAGGUGGCCAACUAAGUCAGACGUGAAAUCCCUCGGCUUAACCGGGGAACUGCGUCUGAUACUGGAUGGCUUGAGUUCGGGAGAGGGAUGCGGAAUUCCAGGUGUAGCGGUGAAAUGCGUAGAUAUCUGGAGGAACACCGGUGGCGAAGGCGGCAUCCUGGACCGGCAUUGACGCUGAGGCGCGAAAGCGUGGGGAGCAAACAGG